UGGGGAAUUUUGGACAAUGGGCGCAAGCCUGAUCCAGCCAUGCCGCGUGUGGGAAGAAGGCCUUCGGGUUGUAAACCACUUUUGUCAGGGAAGAAACGGCCUGAUCUAAUACAUUGGGUUAAUGACGGUACCUGAAGAAUAAGCACCGGCUAACUACGUGCCAGCAGCCGCGGUAAUACGUAGGGUGCGAGCGUUAAUCGGAAUUACUGGGCGUAAAGCGUGCGCAGGCGGCUUUGCAAGACAGAUGUGAAAUCCCCGGGCUCAACCUGGGAACUGCAUUUGUGACUGCAAGGCUAGAGUACGGUAGAGGGGGAUGGAAUUCCGCGUGUAGCAGUGAAAUGCGUAGAUAUGCGGAGGAACACCGAUGGCGAAGGCAAUCCCCUGGACCUGUACUGACGCUCAUGCACGAAAGCGUGGGGAGCAAACAGGAUUAGAUACCCUGGUAGUCCCUGAGCGGGCUGGCAAGGCGCAU
rnacentral:rRNA from 1 species